AGCAAUACCUGACAUUCUAGAUAUUUUACUCCUUUCUUUAUCAUCUCUAUCAUCUCAUAGAGAGAUGUUCUACAAGGACAGGGAUUCUUAAUUUGUUCAUUACAAAUCCCCAGCACCCAGAACAAUGCCUGGCACAGAGGAGAUGCUGCAUGAAAAUCUGUCGAGUGAAUGGAGCAAAUUAAUGAAGCACCAGCUUUGAACUUGAAAACCCUGCCGUGCGUGUCUCAAGGCAGGAGUACAGAGCUGGCCACAAGAGGAGUCUGACGGAGAAGCAUUAAGGCUCUGACUGCAAACGCCCCAUCUGCCUUGCCCAUUGGUGGAGCCUGAGAUGCCUUCACCCAGGUGUUCCAGCAACUCCACAUCUUUGUAGCUGUGAUGUAAUGGAAAGAGCACUGGAGAUCAGCAAAGGAAAUCAGAAAAUGAGGCUGGAAUUUCAGCAACUCUACUCAUUUAUUUCAUUCAUCACUCUAACUCUAAGUAGCAAUGCUGUCUGUGCUGGGCACUGAGCUAAGCGCCACAACUAAAAAGGCAAUCGAGACCCAGUCCACACUCGGGAGAAGUUCAGAACUACUUGGAGAUUCCCUGCUUUCUACAGGAACUUUGUGCACUAAGCACUGUGUAUGUGUGAUCUAUUGAAUCCUUAACUACAACAAAUGAAUCCUUAAUUAUAA